AUUGAACGCUGGCGGCAGGCCUAACACAUGCAAGUCGAGCGGAAACGAUCCUAGCUUGCUAGGAGGCGUCGAGCGGCGGACGGGUGAGUAACGCGUAGGAAUCUGCCCAGUAGAGGGGGAUAGCCCGGGGAAACCCGGAUUAAUACCGCAUACGCCCUACGGGGGAAAGGCCGGGAUCUUCGGACCGGUCACUAUUGGAGGAGCCUGCGUGAGAUUAGCUUGUUGGUGGGGUAAAGGCCUACCAAGGCGACGAUCUCUAGCUGGUCUGAGAGGAUGAUCAGCCACACCGGAACUGAGACACGGUCCGG
rnacentral:rRNA from 1 species